CCCUCGGUAGCUCAGUGGUAGAGCAGUCGGCUGUUAACUGACCGGUUGUAGGUUCGAAUCCUACUUGGGGAG
rnacentral:tRNA from 1 species